rnacentral:rRNA from 1 species
GACGAACGCUGGCGGCGUGCUUAACACAUGCAAGUCGAACGAUGAAGCUAGAGCUUGCUCUGGUGGAUUAGUGGCGAACGGGUGAGUAACACGUGAGUAACCUGCCCCGAACUCUGGGAUAACUGCUGGAAACGGUAGCUAAUACUGGAUACGACCAACGAAGGCAUCUUCUGUUGGUGGAAAGAAUUUCGGUUCGGGAUGGACUCGCGGCCUAUCAGCUUGUUGGUGAGGUAACGGCUCACCAAGGCGACGACGGGUAGCCGGCCUGAGAGGGUGAUCGGCCACACUGGGACUGAGACACGGCCCAGAGUCCUACGGGAGGCAGCAGUGGGGAAUAUUGCACAAUGGGCGCAAGCCUGAUGCAGCAACGCCGCGUGAGGGAUGAAGGUCUUCGGAUUGUAAACCUCUUUCAGUAGGGACGAAGCGAAAGUGACGGUACCUAAAGAAGAAGCACCGGCUAACUACGUGCCAGCCGCCGCCGUAA